AACGAACGCUGGCGGCAGGCUUAACACAUGCAAGUCGAACGCCCCGCAAGGGGAGUGGCAGACGGGUGAGUAACACGUGGGAACGUGCCCUAAGGUUCGGAAUAUUCCCGGGAAACUGGGAGCAAUACCGAAUGUGUCCGAGAGGAGAAAGAUUUAUCGCCUUAGGAUCGGCCCGCGUCGGAGUAGCUAGUUGGUGGGGUAAUGGCCUACCAAGGCGACGAUCCGUAGCUGGUCUGAGAGGACGACCAGCCACACUGGGACUGAGACACGGCCCAGACUCCUACGGGAGGCAGCAGUGGGGAAUCUUGGACAAUGGGCGCAAGCCUGAUCCAGCCAUGCCGCGUGGAUGAUGAAGGCCUUAGGGUUGUAAAAUCCUUUCGCCGAGGACGAUAAUGACGGUACUCGGAGAAGAAGCUCCGGCUAACUUCGUGCCAGCAGCAGCCGCCG
rnacentral:rRNA from 1 species